UCUAAGAUAGUAGGAGUUUCUUACCAACAGGGAAGGAUGAGGAAACUCCUGGCCAGAAGAGAGAGAACCUGAAUGUCAGAGCAGCAUUGGUCACCGUGGUAGGAGAGAAAACCUGGUAAAAUACUGCUCAUCACUUGAUUAAGUGCAACCCGAUUAAGUAUGUGAAUGAACAGGGUCAGCAAAGAAGGGAAGCAAUUUGCAGGCAGUUGCUGGGAGCAAGAGGAGGAUGGGGAAGAGGAAGAGAAGCCAGGCACCAAGAACCAGAUCCUGCUCUGGGAAGGGAACAGGCAAGAGAGCUACAGGAGGAGGUGGUGAGGCUCCAAGGCAUCCUCUGCCAUGAAGAGUUCAGUUGAUUUGAUGCUAGAAGAGACCUCCAAGACUGUAGAGGAAAAACUGCUGAAGGCAGUGCUAGAGAAGAGAGAAGAUGUAAACUCUGAGGAAGGUUGAAGCUGGAAGCUUAUGACCUUCUGACCAGCAAGCAGCAAUCUUCAUCUCCACCUGCAGAAGUUCACCUGAAGGACAGACAUGGAGCCCUAGCAACAAAGGGGGAGGAGCACGUUUCAUUUGUGGAGGAGGACAGGACAGUACUCCACAAGGCUUUGAAGGAUCUCAUAAACAAACUGAGUAGCUGUGACAUAGAUGAUUACAUGGUCAGGUGGGUACCAAAUUGGCUUAAGGGUUACACCCAGAGAGUGGUGGUGAAUGGGUUGGUAUCGACCUGGAGAGAUGUGGGCAGUGGCGUCUCCCAGGGCUCAGUCCUUGGACCUGUGCUAUUCAAUGUCUUCAUCAGCGACUUGGAUGAGGGCAUAGAGAGCACUCUGUCCAAAUUUGCAGAUAACACAAAAUUAUGGGGUACAGUUAACACUAGUGGGAAGGGAUUGAAUCCAGCCAGACCUGGAUAGGUUGGAAAAGUGGGCAGAAAAGAAUUGGAUGCAGUUCAACAAAAACAAUUGCAAAGUGCUACAUCUAGGGAGAAGAAAUCACCAGCACACCUAAUAGGCUAGGGGAUGACCUUCUCAUCAGCACAAGGGUGCAAAGGGAUAUCAGAGUCAUAGUUGAUUCCAAAAUGUAUACGAGCCAUCAAUGUGACAAGGUAAUCAUUAAAGCUAACCACACUUUAUCAUGCAUUAGCAGGUGCAGCAAGAACGGGUCCAGGGAUGUGAUACUUCUCCUCUGUGUAGCAUUGGUCAGGCCACAGUUGAAGUACUGCAGCCAGUUCUGGGUGCCGCACUUCAAGAAGAAUGUGGAUAACCUUGAGAGGGUAGAGGAAGGCUACUCGUAUGGUUAGGGGCCUGCAGGUAAGGCCCUAUGAGAAGAGACUGAGGGACCUGGAGCUCUUCGGCCUCCGUUAGAGAAGGCUGAGAGGGGAUCUUGUGGCUGUUUACAAAUUUAUCAGGGGUGGGCAGCAAGAAAUUGGAGAUGCUUUGUAUACCAUGGCACCCCCUGGAAUAACCAGGAACAACGGCCACAAACUGACAGAGCAAACUUAAGUUGGACAUCAGGCGGAACUUCUUUAUGGUGAGGGUUGCCAGAAUCUGGAAUGGGCUUCUGAAGGGGGUUGGGUUCUCCCUUACCUUGAGGAACUUUAAGAGGAAACUGGACAAGCAACUAGCUGGGGUCAUAUGACCCCAGCGCUCUUUCCUGCCCAGGGCAGGGGGGGUGGACUCAAUGAUUUAUUGAGCUCCCUUCCAACCCUAACAACUAUAAAACUGUAAGACUACCACCGCCAAGAAGCAAUGAUGAGUGGUGGUGGUUGGAGACCCUGUUCCAUGGGGAACACAGGCAUCCAUCUGCUAGCCUGACAUGUGGUCUUGGGAGGUCUGCUGUUUGCCUGGAGCAUGGAUCCGAGAUAUCUGUGCCCUUGACUACUACCGCAUGCUGCUUAUACAUGUGGGCAUCAGUGAUACUUCAGGGAGAGACCCUGAGCAGAUCAAAAGUGACUACAGGUGGAAGGGUGAAGGAGAUGGGCGCUCAGGUGGUAUCUGUCUUGAUCCUUCCAUUCAAGGGGAAGGCCCUGGGCAGGACUGGGUGUAUCCUGCAGAUGAUUGAAGGCUGUGUAGAUGGUGUUGCCAGCAGGCUUCUUUGACCCUGGGAUGAUGUUCCAAGUGUCAUGACCCAAAGGUCUGAUUUUGUGUGUGUGCUUCGCCACUCGAAUGAUCCCCGUGGGUUUACAGCUUCAUUGCAUGGAGGAGUUCUGCUGCGCAGAGAACCCGCGUGCAAAGGAGUGUUCCCGCCACUUUGCAGCUGUCUUUGCAGGGUGCAUUUCCCUUUGCAACACAAAAAUGCACGGUGCAAAGAGUUCCCGCUCGCCGUAUGCAAAUUCAUGCCCCGCAAUUGGCUAGUGCUAAAUUAUUCACACGUGGCAGCUAGUGAUUGGCCUGCUAGCCGUAUAAGAGGCUUGACCAGUUUCCGCCCAAGCCGAAGAGGACUCCGCAUCCAUCUCGUGGGGACUCUGGGUGUGCGCGGCAGGGUAAUAGAAACCCUGUGUGUUGCCCAGAGGAGUUUGGCAGCCUGAUCCACCGCCCACCUCUUCCCAUCUUCCACCGGAGCCUACUAGAAGAUGUAACGAUGAGUUUUAUGCGUGCUUGUCCUGGACAUCCGGAGUUUUGUCUACGUGGAGCCUAGCAAACUCCACGUGAUUGCUAGGCUCCAUGUAGACAAAACACGAACAAACUCCACGUGUGUUCGUGUUUUCUAUUGUAACCGCAACUCAAGCAAGUUCUCAGCCUGCACCGGGACCAUCUCGGUGUAAGUAAACAAUCUUAAAAUCAA